GGUGAGCAGUGCAAGUAUUUAUCGAUCACAUAGGUAUUUUAGUUGAUCAGACAAGUGUUUAUUGAUCACACAGGUAUUUAUCGAUCCCCCAGGUGUGUUUAUUGAUCCCCCAGCCGUUAUUGAUCACCCAGGUGUGUUCAUUGAUCACCCAGGUGUUCAUUGAUCACAUAAAUGUUUAUUGAUCACCCAGGUGUGUUUAUCCAUCACACAGGUGUUUUAAUUGAUCACACUGAUGUUUAUUGAUUGCCCAGGUGUGUUCAUUGAUCACACAGAUGUUCAUUGAUCACCCAAAUGAGCAGUACAGGUAUUUAUUGAUCACCCAGGUGUGUUCAUUGAUCACACAGAUGUUCAUUGAUCACCCAAAUGAGCAGUACAGGUAUUUAUUGAUCACCCAGGUGCGUUUAUCGAUCACACAGAUGUCUAAUGAUCAGACAGGUGUUUAUUGAUCACCCAGGUGUUUAUUGAUCACCCAGGUGAGCAGUACAGGUAUUUAUCGAUCCCCCAGCCAUUAUUGAUCACCCAGGUGUGUUCAUUGAUCACACAGAUGUUCAUUGAUCACCCAAAUGAGCAGUACAGGUAUUUAUUGAUCACCCAGGUGUGUUUAUUGAUCACCCAGGUGUUCAUUGAUCACAUAAACGUUUAUUGAUCCCCCAGGUGAGCAGUACAGGUGUUUAUCGAUCCCCCAGGUGUGUUUAUCGAUCCCCCAGCCGUUAUUGAUCCCGUUAUUGAUCACUGCCCCCCGAACAGAUCCUCGUUGUAAACCACCUGAGCUCUCUUGUC